ensembl:lncRNA
AUUGCAUCUGACACUGGUGUCGCUUUGUUUUGUAACGAGAGCCCACACUUUCGAACGUUUCACUCUUUCACUCACUACUGACUGCACGCACACAGACACACAGCAUAUGCGCUGGAUAUCACACGCACGUCGAGCAAAUGUCGGCCACAUAUUUCAAUGAAGGGAAAUGACAAGCAGCAGCUUCUAAUUCGUCGUUAACAUUGAAGUAUACGGAGAUAAAACAAGGCAAGUAUCGAUAACAGUAUUGUUUGUCCUGAAGCUUAUCGGUACUUCGUUACCGACCCAAUUACGUACCGGUCCAAAAAAAUACCGGUUCUCGGUACCCAUCCAUACUUCUCAUCAGGACUGCACAAUUAAUCAAAAUAAACUUGAAAUUGUGAUAUGGGUUAAUGCAGUUAUCAAAUCACAAAAGACUGCUUUUUAAGAUAGAACAGUAGAUGUUCUGAAUUGCUGUUAAAUAAAAUUAUUUUAAAAAUAGCAGUUGAGUGAGUUAUUUUGAGCUUAUAACAUGAUUUUAAAAGUUUCACCUAGUUUUGCAUUCAUGUAAUUUCCAACCAUUUUUGGCAGAUGAUGGUGGAUAAAAGUGGUAGCUAAAGCUGCUAUUUGUGUAAUUGUAUGUAAAUCUUAAUUAGUUGUGUUCUCUCUUCUACAGGUUAAACUGCAUCAGUAUUACAGAUGAAGGUUGUGCUGCUCUGGCAUCAGCGUUUAAUUCAAACCUCAGAGAGCUGGAUCUGAGCAGGAAUCAAAUAGGAGACUCUGGAGUGACAGAAAUCUCCAGUCUGCUGAGAAAUUCACAGACACUACAGAUACUCAGACUUUCAGACUGCAGUAUCACUGAAGAAGGUUAUANAUCGCUGGCACGCGAGCAGUAGGGAAAACUGCAUACUGACGUACAUUUUGAGGUAAUAACUUCUCAUAGUCACACAGCCUGUUAGGAGCUAUCAAUACUAUUAAAGUGUGAGAAUUAACUUGCGCUAGUUUACGGAUGAGCGCGCGAACGCUGCACAUACUAGUUGCUUCAGAUCAAAGCCUCAGUGGUCUAACAGCGCUUGUCAAUGUAAAAAUCAUUUAGAAGGCCAAUCAAAUUAAAGUAGGCAGGGUUUACUGUUCACAGAAGCAGAGCACGAAGCGUGAGUUUAACGUUAAAGAGAGCGAAGUAAGAUGAAGCUGCAAAUCAUUUAAUAUUAGUCAACUUUUAAUAAUAUGCUUUACGUUAGAAAUGUUAAAUGACCGAUCUCAGAUCUCUGUGUGCGAGUGGUGUGUGUGUGUGUAUGUGUGCACGCGCAUCAAUUAAAGCAGCGCAUGAACGGUAAUUAAACUGUUAAACUGUUUUAAUGCAUUGGCCUCUUCACAUACAAACACACACACACACACACAUAUG